GUGAGUCAUCGAAUCUUUGAACGCACAUUGCGCCCGCCAGUAUUCUGGCGGGCAUGCCUGUUCGAGCGUCAUUUCAACCCUCGAGCCCCUCCGGGGGAUCGGUGUUGGGGACCGGCCCCGCCCCGUUGCGGGCAGCCGCCCCCGAAAUGAAGUGGCGGUCACGUCGCGGCCUCCUCUGCGUAGUAGCUUUUGAAACCUCGCAUCGGAGCGCGGCGCGGCCACGCCGUUAAACCCCCAACUUCUGAAAGGUUGACCUCGGAUCAGGUAGGAAUACCCGCUGAACUUAAGCAUAUCAAUAAGCGGAGGA
rnacentral:misc_RNA from 1 species